rnacentral:rRNA from 1 species
UACGUAGGCAGCAAGCGUUGUUCGGAGUUACUGGGCGUAAAGGGGACGUAGGCGGCCAACUAAGUCCGACGUGAAAUCCCAAGGCUUAACCUUGGAACUGCGUCGGAUACUGGAUGGCUUGAAUUCGGGAGAGGGAUGCAGAAUUCCAGGUGUAGCGGUGAAAUGCGUAGAUAUCGUGGAGGAACACCGGUGGCGAAGGCGGCAUCCUGGACCGGUAUUGACACUGAGGCGCGAAAGCCAGGGGAGCAAACGGG